rnacentral:rRNA from 1 species
AUUGAACGCUGGCGGAAUGCUUUACACAUGCAAGUCGAACGGUAGAGGGAGCAACCCCUCGAGAGUGGCGAACGGGUGAGUAAUAUAUCGGAACGUGCCCAGUCGUGGGGGAUAACGUAGCGAAAGUUACGCUAAUACCGCAUGCGAUCUACGGAUGAAAGUGGGGGACCGUAAGGCCUCGCGCGAUUGGAGCGGCCGAUGUCAGAUUAGGUAGUUGGUGAGGUAAAGGCUCACCAAGCCGACGAUCUGUAGCUGGUCUGAGAGGACGACCAGCCACACUGGGACUGAGACACGGCCCAGACUCCUACGGGAGGCAGCAGUGGGGAAUUUUGGACAAUGGGCGCAAGCCUGAUCCAGCCAUUCCGCGUGCAGGACGAAGGCCUUCGGGUUGUAAACUGCUUUUGUACGGAACGAAAAGGCUCUGGUUAAUACCUGGGGCUCAUGACGGUACCGUAAGAAUAAGCACCGGCUAACUACGUGCCAGCCGCCGCCGUAA